ensembl:snRNA U5 U5 spliceosomal RNA
UGCUCUUGUUUCUGUUCAAAUCGUAUAAAUCUUUCGCCUUUUACUAAAGAUUUCCGUGGAGAGGAACACAGAGAGUUUCGCCUAAUUUUUUGAUACCCUGCGUCAGUGGGGUU